CUGGCUCAGGAUGAACGCUGGCGGCGUGCUUAAUACAUGCAAGUCGAACGAAGCACUUCAAGCGGAGACCUUCGGGUCGAAGCCGGUUGUGACUUAGUGGCGGACGGGUGAGUAACGCGUGGGUAACCUGCCUCAUACAGGGGGACAACAGCUGGAAACGGCUGCUAAUACCCCAUAAGCGCACAGUGCCGCAUGACACGGUGUGAAAAGAUUUAUCGGUAUGAGAUGGACCCGCGUCCGAUUAGUUAGUUGGCGGGGUAACGGCCCACCAAGACCGCGAUCGGUAGCCGACUUGAGAGAGUGAUCGGCCACAUUGGGACUGAGACACGGCCCAGACUCCUACGGGAGGCAGCAGUAGGGAAUAUUGCACAAUGGGGGAAACCCUGAUGCAGCCGACGCCGCGUGGGUGAUGAAGCAUUUCGGUGCGUAAAGCCCUAUCAGCAGGGAAGAUAAUGACGGUACCUGACUAAGAAGCCCCGGCUAACUACGUGCCAGCCGCUGC
rnacentral:rRNA from 1 species